AAACAAGAUGUAGUCAACAUUAGCACUACGUGGAUCGACGUCACGCCGAUGUUUUCAAUGUUGGCGUUGCAUGGUAACGCGUUCUCGAAAGCUCCUGAAGCCAUAUAUGGAAUUAGAUCAUCAGAAUACACACUUCGGCAGAACCUUGGAUAUGUGACUGCACGGUAUGAAUUUC